rnacentral:tRNA from 1 species
GGGUGUAUAGCUUAGUGGUAGAGCAUUCGACUGCAGAUCGGGAGAUCCCCGGUUCAAACCCGGGUGUCCCCU